ACUCCUACGGGAGGCAGCAGUGGGGAAUAUUGCACAAUGGGGGAAACCCUGAUGCAGCCAUGCCGCGUGUGUGAAGAAGGCCUUCGGGUUGUAAAGCACUUUCAGUAGGGAGGAAGGUAGUGUAGUUAACACCUGCAUUUAUUUUGACGUUUACCUACAGAAGAAGCACCGGCUAACUCCGUGCCAGCAGCCGCGGUAAUACGGAGGGUGCAAGCGUUAAUCGGAAUUACUGGGCGUAAAGCGUGCGCAGGCGGUCUGUUAAGCGAGAUGUGAAAGCCCCGGGCUCAACCUGGGAACUGCAUUUCGAACUGGCAGACUAGAGUCUUGUAGAGGGGGGUAGAAUUCCAGGUGGUAG
rnacentral:rRNA from 1 species